rnacentral:rRNA from 1 species
GACGAACGCUUGCGGCGUGCCUAAGAAAUGCAAGUCGAGCGGGGAUUAGCGCUGUCCAAAGCUUCGGCAGAGGACUUGCUAGUUCUAGCGGCGAACGGUCGCGUAACACGUAAGCAACCUGCCCCAAAGAUUGGGAUAACCCACCGAAAGGUGGACUAAUACCGGAUGUGGCCCGUCUGUCGCAUGACAGAUUGGUUAAAGGAGCAAUCCGCUUUGGGAUGGGCUUGCGGCCUAUCAGCUAGUUGGUGAGGUAAAGGCCCACCAAGGCGACGACGGGUAGCUGGCCUGAGAGGGUGGCCAGCCGGAUUGGGACUGAGAUACGGCCCAGACUCCUACGGGUGGCAG